rnacentral:rRNA from 1 species
UCCUGGCUUAGGAUGAACGCUAGCUACAGGCUUAACACAUGCAAGUCGAGGGGCAUCAUGUGAGGACUUCGGCCUUUUGAUGGCGACCGGCGAAUGGGUGAGUAACACGUAUCCGACCUGCCCUGUACUGGAGGAUAGCCUCCCGAAAGGGAAAUUAAUACUCCAUGUGUCAUGUUGCUUCAUGGUGGCAUGAUGAAAGAUUUAGUCGGUACAGGAUGGGGAUGCGUUCCAUUAGCCAGCCGGCGGGUAACGGCCACCGGGCGACGAUGGAUAGGGGUUCUGAGAGGAAGGUCCCCCACACUGGAACUGAGACACGGUCCAGACUCCUACGGGAGGCAGCAGUGAGGAAUAUUGGUCAAUGGCCGGAAGGCUGAACCAAGCCAAGUAGCGUGCGGGACGACGGCCCUACAGGUUGUAAACCGCUUUUGUACGGGGGUAAAACGCGCGACGAGUCGCGCCUUGCAAGUACCGUAAGAAAAAGGACCGGCUAAUUCCGUGCCAGCCGCUGC